UACGUAGGGGGCAAGCGUUGUCCGGAAUCAUUGGGCGUAAAGCGCGUGUAGGCGGUCCGGUAAGUCCGCUGUGAAAGUCGGGGGCUCAACCCUCGGAUGCCGGUGGAUACUGUCGGGCUUGAGUACGGAAGAGGCGAGUGGAAUUCCUGGUGUAGAGGUGAAAUUCGUAGAUAUCAGGAGGAACACCAGUGGCGAAGGCGGCUUCUGGACGGUAACUGACGCUGAGACGCGAAAGCGUGGGGAGCAAACAGG
rnacentral:rRNA from 1 species